rnacentral:rRNA from 1 species
AUGCAUGCACCUACCGGUGGAUGCCGGGCCGCUCCGGCCGGGGCGGGUCGCGGUCGGCAGCUCGGGGCAUUUAAGGCGGCCACGGGCGCAGCUACGCUACGCUACAGGUCGACGACGGCAGCCGCGCGCAGCAGACCAGACGGCGUCCGGUCCGGUCCGGUCAGGUCAGUCAAGGGUUUGACCGCCACGUCGGGUUCUGUGUUUGGGCCCCACCGGUCAUUGACCCAGAACCCGCAACCGAUCAAACCCUUCAUACUGGUCCGAAUGUUCGGGUUGUUUGCCACGCCUCAAACCCAGCCCAUAUAUCUGUCACCACGACGAUGA